rnacentral:tRNA from 1 species
GCCUGGGUGGCUCAGUCCGUUAAGCAUCUGAUUUUGGCUCAGGUCAUGAUCUCACAGUCCGUGGGUUCGAGCCCCACGUCGGGCU